rnacentral:tRNA from 1 species
CAGGGAGACAACAAAAUGUUAAAUAUUAAUUUUGUCACCUUAGGUCGAUCGGUAUCUCACAUUCUUAAAUUUAUUAAGGAUUUUAUUUCCUAAGUUUUUUCUAGGUCACACCCAUUACUUUCCCUGGGCCAUUAGCUCAGGUGGUUAGAGCGCACCCCUGAUAAGGGUGAGGUCCCUGGUUCAAGUCCAGGAUGGCCCAUAUCUCUAUGUUGGGGGUAUAGCUCAGUUGGUAGAGCGCCUGCUUUGCAAGCAGGAUGUCAGCGGUUCGAGUCCGCUUACCUCCACUGAUUACCACCUCUUCCAUAAUUUCUGAGGGAAAUGUUAUGAGUUGUGAUCAAAUUCUGAACGAAUCUAGCUUCCUAAUCAAAGCGAUUAAGAUGCUGGACUCAUUGAAUUAAUUUCAUUGUUUUCAGAGAACCUUGACAACUGCAUAGAUUAUUUUUAAAGACAAUAAGCAUCUUUAAUGAUGCAGAUUUAUUAUUUGUGCAAAUGCAUUAAUAACAAUUCUAUUAAGCUGAUGCUUCAAUAUUUGAAGUUAUU